rnacentral:rRNA from 1 species
AGAGUUUGAUCCUGGCUCAGGAUGAACGCUAGCUACAGGCUUAACACAUGCAAGUCGAGGGGCAGCAUGGUCUUAGCUUGCUAAGACCGAUGGCGACCGGCGCACGGGUGAGUAACGCGUAUCCAACCUCCCCCACAGUAGCGGAUAGCCCGGCGAAAGUCGGAUUAAUACGCUAUGUGGUGCAGUAUUGGCAUCAUGGCCGCACGAAAGAUUUAUCGCUGUGGGAUGGGGAUGCGUCUGAUUAGCUUGUCGGCGGGGUAACGGCCCACCGAGGCGACGAUCAGUAGGGGUUCUGAGAGGAAGGUCCCCCACAUUGGUACUGAGACACGGACCAAACUCCUACGGGAGGCAGCAGUGAGGAAUAUUGGUCAAUGGCCGGAAGGCUGAACCAGCCAAGUAGCGUGCAGGACGACGGCCCUACGGGUUGUAAACUGCUUUUAUAGGGGAAUAAAGUGUGGUACGUGUACCGUUUUGUAUGUACCCUAUGAAUAAGGACCGGCUAAUUCCGUGCCAGCAGCCGCGGUAAUACGGAAGGUCCGGGCGUUAUCCGGAUUUAUUGGGUUUAAAGGGAGCGCAGGCGGGACCUUAAGCGUGUUGUGAAAUGUACCGGCUCAACCGGUGAUGUGCAGCGCGAACUGGGGUUCUUGAGUGGGUACGACGUCGGCGGAAUUCGUGGUGUAGCGGUGAAAUGCUUAGAUAUCACGAGGAACCCCGAUUGCGAAGGCAGCCGACGAGUCCCUUACUGACGCUAAUGCUCGAAAGUGCGGGUAUCGAACAGGAUUAGAUACCCUGGUAGUCCGCACGGUAAACGAUGGAUGCCCGCUGUUGGCCAUACAAAUGUCAGCGGCCAAGCGAAAGCGUUAAGCAUCCCACCUGGGGAGUACGCCGGCAACGGUGAAACUCAAAGGAAUUGACGGGGGCCCGCACAAGCGGAGGAACAUGUGGUUUAAUUCGAUGAUACGCGAGGAACCUUACCCGGGCUUGAACUGCAGCUGAACGAUUCAGAGAUGAUGAGGCCCUUCGGGGCAGCUGUGGAGGUGCUGCAUGUUUGUCGUCAGCUCGUGCCGUGAGGUGUCGGCUUAAGUGCCAUAACGAGCGCAACCCCUGUCUUCAGUUGCCAUCAGGUGAAGCUGGGCACUCUGUAGAGACUGCCACCGUAAGGUGUGAGGAAGGUGGGGAUGACGUCAAAUCAGCACGGCCCUUACGUCCGGGGCUACACACGUGUUACAAUGGCCGGUACAGAGGGCAGCCACCCUGCGAGGGGGAGCGAAUCUCGAAAGCCGGCCUCAGUUCGGAUCGGAGUCUGCAACUCGACUCCGUGAAGUUGGAUUCGCUAGUAAUCGCGCAUCAGCCAUGGCGCGGUGAAUACGUUCCCGGGCCUUGCACUCAAAGCCCGUCAAG